rnacentral:rRNA from 1 species
GCGUGAGUGAUGAAGGCCUUAGGGUUGUAAAGCUCUUUCAGCGGGGAAGAUAAUGACGGUACCCGCAGAAGAAGCCCCGGCUAACUUCGUGCCAGCAGCCGCGGUAAUACGAAGGGGGCUAGCGUUGCUCGGAAUCACUGGGCGUAAAGCGCACGUAGGCGGCUUUCUAAGUCAGGGGUGAAAUCCUGGAGCUCAACUCCAGAACUGCCUUUGAUACUGGAGAGCUUGAGUCCGGGAGAGGUGAGUGGAACUCCGAGUGUAGAGGUGAAAUUCGU